rnacentral:lncRNA from 1 species
AAUAUAAUUUCAAACUUCUCUAGAGUUGCUAUAUGAUCGGUAAAUUAUAAUAUAUUUUAAUUGUCUACUGACAAAAACAUGCUCUUCUGAGGUCCCAAUUUAAAAAAAAAAUGUUGAAAGGAAAUACUGGAAUCCGAAGGAUCAAUUCCGAAAUCCUCAGCUAAAAAUACCCAAUCCAGACGUCCCGAAAAAGGUCCUCUAGAAAAGGUAAUACUUAUACACACCAACAGAUGUUUGG